UUUUAUCUGGUUGAUCCUGCCAGUAGUCAUACGCUCGUCUCAAAGAUUAAGCCAUGCAUGUGUAAGUAUAAAUAGUUAACUUUGAAACUGCGAAUGGCUCAUUAUAUCAGUUAUAGUUUAUUUGAUGAAGAAUACUAAUUGGAUAACCGUAGUAAUUCUAGAGCUAAUACAUGUAUAAAGUCUUGUAGACUGCAUUUAUUAGAAUGAAAACCAUAGGUUUCGGCCUAUUCGUGAGUAAUAAUAACUAAUCAUAUCGUAUGCUUAUGUAACGAUGUGUCUUUCAAGUUUCUGCCCUAUCAGCUUUCGAUGGUAGUGUAUUGGACUACCAUGGCAGUAACGGGUAACGAAGAAUUUGGGUUCGAUUUCGGAGAGGGAGCCUGAGAGAUGGCUACCACAUCCAAGGAAGGCAGCAGGCGCGUAAAUUACCCAAUCCUGACACAGGGAUGUAGUGUCAAUAUAUGGGGUUGAUCCUNCCAGUUCCCGAAGUUCCUUGGCCUUAAAAGGAUUCGGGAUAGAAUUGCAUUUAUAGGGGGAUCACGCGCAGGAGAGCAGUAUCUGGAUAUAUUUUGGAAAUAAUU
rnacentral:rRNA from 12 species